GACAGAGGGUGCAAACGUUGUUCGGAAUUACUGGGCGUAAAGCGCAUGUAGGCGGCAACGCAAGUCGGGCGUGAAAUCCCACGGCUCAACCGUGGAAGUGCACUCGAAACUGCGUAGCUAGAGUCCUGGAGAGGAAGGUGGAAUGCUUGGUGUAGAGGUGAAAUUCGUAGAUAUCAAGCGGAACACCGGUGGCGAAGGCGGCCUUCUGGACAGUGACUGACGCUGAGAUGCGAAAGCGUGGGGAGCGAACAGG
rnacentral:rRNA from 1 species